GGAUGUGAGGGUGAUCUGGCUGCAACAUGUCACCCCAUUGAUUGUCAGGGUUGAUUCGGCUAUCUGGGUGGCUAGGCAGGUGUCCCCUUCCUCCCUCACUGCUCCAUGUAUGUCCCUCUGGAAGCUGUGUGCUCGGUGGAAGAGGACCGCCUUCCCUGAAUAGAGACCAACGGAGACCGACCAGUUUUCCGUUGAGGGUAUAGGAGUAGUUGUGCUCCCCUGCUAGAACCUCCAAACAAGCUCUCAAACAUCAAGUUCUUUGUCUACAAUUAUCCAUGCUUUUCUACCUCACUUAAUCAAGUAUAAUAAUAAUAAUUAUUUGCAUU
rnacentral:snRNA from 1 species